CAUGUCUUUUGAGUACCUUACGUUUCCUCG
rnacentral:rRNA from 1 species